rnacentral:ribozyme from 1 species
GGGGUUCGAUUCAUAAAAGAGUCGCCUUAUGAAGUGAUUCAUAAGUGAAAACUUGGCUUUAUCGGUGAAACCGUAACGUUAUUAUAGACGACGGCAAUACCGAGUGGUAUGUGAGGAAACUCAACAGCCGCGUAUCGACUCAUAGGCUUCUAAGUUCAUAAAACAGUGAAUAUUGAAGUACUAGGAUAGAAGCUUCAAAACUAUAUUAUGGCUUCUAUAAAACGCCAAGGGGCUUAAUUCUUAAUUAAGCUUAAGAUAUAGUCAGCACCAUUUGGAAACAAUGGG